UACAGAGGGGGCAAGCGUUGUUCGGAAUUACUGGGCGUAAAGGGCGCGUAGGCGGCCUUCUAAGUCGAACGUGAAAUCCCCGGGCUCAACCCGGGAACUGCGUCCGAUACUGGAAGGCUUGAAUCCGGGAGAGGGAUGUGGAAUUCCAGGUGUAGCGGUGAAAUGCGUAGAUAUCAGAAGGAACAUCAGUGGCGAAGGCGGCUUCCUGGACCAAUACUGACGAUCAGGUGCGAAAGCGUGGGGAGCAAACAGG
rnacentral:rRNA from 1 species